ACUGGGUAUGGUGGCAUGUACCUAUAAUCCCAGCUACUCGGGAGAAUGAGGCAGGAGGAUAACUUGAGCUCACUAAACCAGAGGGUAGCUUGUAGUUCACUAAACCAGUCAGGUGUCCAUACUAAUUUCAGCAUCGAUAUGGUGACCUUCCAUGAGUGGGAGACCACCAGGUUGUCUACAGAGAAGUGAACUGGCCUGGAGCAGAAGUGGAGCGGGUCAAAACUCCUGUGCUUCCUAGAAUGGUAGAGUUUAAUUUAAAAAAAAAAAAAAAAAAAGACUGCUUUGCUGAUUGAUAGUGGGAUUGUGCCUGU
rnacentral:SRP_RNA from 1 species